GAUGAACGCUAGCGGCAGGCCUAAUACAUGCAAGUCGAACGGAUGUAGCAAUACAUUAGUGGCGCACGGGUGCGUAACGCGUAUGCAACCUACCUUCAUCAGGGGGAUAACUACCCGCAAGGGUGGCUAACACCGCAUAAUACUAUUGAGUGGCAUCACUUGGUAUUUAAAUCUGAGGAGGAUGAAGAUGGGCAUGCGUCUGAUUAGCUAGUUGGUGUGGUAACGGCGCACCAAGGCGACGAUCAGUAGGGGAACUGAGAGGUUGGUCCCCCACACUGGCACUGGGAUACGGGCCAGACUCCUACGGGAGGCAGCAGUAGGGAAUAUUGGUCAAUGGUGGGAACACUGAACCAGCCAUUCCGCGUGCAGGAAGAAGGGUCUCUGACUUGUAAACUGCUUUAGCAAGGGAAGAAAAAGCUCAUGCGUGAGAAAUUGACGGUACCUUGAGAAUAAGCACCGGCUAACUACGUGCCAGCAGCCGCAGUAAGAC
rnacentral:rRNA from 1 species